GCGGCGCCUCUAUCUCUUCGCGUCCAUUUGUAUCGACAGUGUAGGGGUUUGUUUGUGUUUUUUUUCUUCUCUCCGCUAUGUAUCUCUCUUCUAGCCUGGCAGGUCGGGCCCACAACCUCCUCAGUCUCCGAUGCAUUCGUCCCCCUCCGCCGCGCCGCUCCAGGAGCUCCCCGUGGAGGUCGUCAGUGACGAGGAGAUGGCGUUGAUCGACGCUGCUCUGGCCGCCGCUGCAGCGGGUGCCCGCCCCCUCGUCUCCUCAACCGCUCGCCGCACCGCCGCCCAGCUCUCCUGCGCGGCCUACUCCGCCGCCGGUGGCGAUAUUGAGGACUCCCCUGUGCAGCGGAGGUCGCUUCUCGCCCGGUUCCGGGAGCGCCGCGCGCUCGCCAUCACCGACAUUACUGCAACGGAAUGGUGCGAGAAACAGAUGGAGUUCGUGCUCGAACACGGCAAGCCGGAGAGGACCGAGGCCAUGAAGGCAGGUUCGGAACGCCAUGCGCAGCUCGAGCAAGAGGUUGUUGAAAGAGUGGAAGUCGCCAUUAGAUCUGCGGAAGAAUUAUGGGCAGUAAAAUUCAUCAACUUUAUCGUGGGAACAAACCAGUUAAUGUUCGAGGGCAUCACACGGGAAAUUCCAGUGAUUGGGCUUGUUGAAGGUUCAUGGAUGAUAGGGAUCAUUGAUGAAAUCCGAAUGCCCAUUGAUGGCAUUUCAUUUCAACCCAUUCUGGUAGAUACAAAGACACGUGUCAGGCCAACAAUUCCCUCAGAAGCACAAAAAAGAAAUGGAAGGCUCCAGCUGAUGUGUUACAAAUAUCUGUGGGACAGUUUAAUUGCUGAGAAAUUUCCAGCAGAGAAUUUCUUCAGCUAUUUUGACCUGGACCCUAACUACUUGUUGUCAGAUGAUAUCAAGCAGUACAUUAGCUCACUGGGAUUCGAUGCAAAGACCUUUGAAGAUGUGUUGAAAUAUUUCAAGGCUACCUGCCAUACUCUACCGCAGUCUGGAGAAUCACUGCUCUUGAGAUAUGAACUACAGUCAGACCAUUCCCUGCUUGAAGAAUACCAGUUCACUUAUGAUGCUAGGUGGUUCAAGGAUCAGAUCCAAGAAGUCCUAAGCUUUUGGCAAGGAUCACGGGAACCUAAAUUUGUCACUGAAGAGGAGAGGUGGAAAUGCAGUUUCUGCAAAUUUGCGUCAAAAUGCCAGAUGAUAGCUUCCACAUCAAGGAUGAAGAAAUGUGACUUUGUCUCUCAAAUAUUAUUGAUUGGCAAUAGAAUUCUGUUCUUGAUGACUUGUUGUACAUAUGUAACGAAGAAAUCACUUUCUGGAAUAUUCUGUCGUGGGAUUUGAAUUCGGAUUAAUGGAAUAUUGGCGCAUUGUGAUUUACUUCUUGUGCCAAAUACAAGUACAGGGGCUGCAAGUCUGGCAGUGGCAGGAGCUGGAGUGCCGGACAGGGGGCGCGAAAUUUGGCGGCCCCACUCGUCAGUGGUUGCUGGGUAGAGCGCUGCAGUGCGGCGGCCGUGCCGUUGCAUGAGCCGCGAUCCGCGGGGGAUCAACUAACCGAUUCCUCCGGCUCCGGUGCACUCCUCCCCCUCCGCCGCGCCGCGGUCUAGGACAGUGGACAGAGGAGCUCCGUGGAGGUCGUCGCCUCGUCGGGCAACGAGGAGAUGCCGCUUAUCGCCGCCGCUGCAGCGGGAGCCCGCCCCUUGCUCUCCUCCGCCGCCCGCCGCGCCGCCGCCCCGCUCUCCUACGCGGCCUAUUCGACCGCCGGUCCCGCCGCCGGCGACAUUGAGGACUCCCCUCUGCCGCGAAGGUCGCCUCUCGCCCAGUUCCGAGAGCGCCGCGCGCUCGCCGUCACCGACAUCACUGCCACGGAAUGGUGCGAGAAACAGAUGGAGUUCGUGCUCAAACACGGCAAGCCGGAGAGGACCGAGGCCAUGAAGGCAGGUUUGGACCGCCAUGCGCAGCUCGAGCAUCAUGAGAAUGUUUUUCAAAGAGUGGAUAUCGCCAUUAGAUCUGUGGAAGAAUUAUGGGCAGUCAAAUUCAUGAGCUUCAUCGUAGGAACAAACCGGUUAAGGCUCGAGGAUGUCACACGGGAAAUUCCAGUGUUUGGGGUCGUUAAAGGUUCAUGGACUAUAGGGAUUAUUGAUGAAAUCCAAAUGUGCAUGGAUGGCAUUUCAGUUCAACCCAUCCUGAUAGAUACAAAGACACGUGGCAAGCCAACAAUUCCCUCGGAAGCACAAAAAAGAAAUGGAAGGCUGUGUUCAGGAAGACUUCGAGAAGAUCUGCGCGUCUUGGGUUGGUCAACCUCUUCCUCCGGGUUGGACUGCCGAGUGGGUUCUGUCUUCUCUGUGAAGUACGGGCAGAUUGGCCUCACAUCAGUGGGCAAGAUGUGAAGCUCGUCUUUUGUCGUCGUUGGCAGUUAUCGUAUUGUAUUUUGGGUCUCUGUUUCAAACUCUGUUUUACUUCCGCUGUGUUGAACUCUGAGAUUUGGAUUGUAAACCCUGGAUUGUAAAACUUUGUUGUAAAUUAUUUCUGAAGCUUGUGUUAAACUCUGUUUGUAAAUUAAUUUGAACUCUACUUUUGCUGGUAA